CUUCUGAGGCUGCUGCCAGUGGUCAAAGCCUCCAGCAAAGCUCUACUGAGCAGCUGUUCCCUCUCAGUUGAAGGAUGUUCAGCUCUGUCCUCAGCUCUCAGCUCUCCGUCCGCCAGACUGAAGGACCUGGACCUGAGAAUCCAGGACUCAGGCCUGAAGAAGCUGUGUGAUGGACUGGAAAACUGGAAACUGGAAACUCUCAGGCUGAGUGCGUGUGGUCUCUCAGAGACAAGCUGUGGACCUCUGUCCUCAGU